GAUCAACAUUGUCAGGCAUUGUGGUGUUGGUUUGUCUUUGUCCCUCCUCCUGGAUUUGUUUGCACUGGAAUGGAAAGCACUGAGAGCUGAGCUCUCCCCCUACACCUUGUGAGGAGAAAUCGUGGCCUCGUUGGAAACUGCUCAAGUUUGUUUGGAUACACAUUUGUGUCUGUGUCACACAUCUGUAC
rnacentral:lncRNA from 12 species